rnacentral:rRNA from 1 species
GUUAGGAAUAUUGGACAAUGGGCGAAAGCCUGAUCCAGCCAUGCCGCGUGAACGAUGAAGGCCUUCGGGUUGUAAAGUUCUUUAGCCGAUGAUUAUAAUGACUGUAGUCGGAAAAUAAGCCCCGGCUAACUUCGUGCCAGCAGCCGCGGUAAUACGAAGGGGGCGAGCGUUAUUCGGAAUCACUGGGCGUAAAGCGUGCGUAGGCGGUUUUGUAAGUUAGGAGUGAAAGCCCAGGGCUCGACCUUGGAAUUGCUCUUAAAACUGCAAGGCUAGAAUCUCGGAGAGGAUAGCGGAAUUUCCAGUGUAGCAGUGAAAUGCGUAGAUAUUGGAAGGAACACCAGUGGCGUAAGCGGCUAUCUGGACGAGUAUUGACGCUGAGGCACGAAAGCGUGGGGAUCAAACAGGAUUAGAAACCCCAGUAGUCC